rnacentral:rRNA from 1 species
GAUGAACGCUAGCGACAGGCUUAACACAUGCAAGUCGAGGGGCAGCACGUCAGGGUGGCGACCGGCGCACGGGUGAGUAACACGUAUGCAACCUGCCUCCAACAGGGGGAUAGCCCUAAGAAAUUGGGAUUAAUACCUCAUAAUACAGGGAUGCCGCAUGGCAAUAUUUGUUAAAGAGUAAUCGGUUGGAGAUGGGCAUGCGCAGGAUUAGGCAGUUGGCGGGGUAACGGCCCACCAAGCCCUCGAUCCUUAGGGGAACUGAGAGGUUGAUCCCCCACACCGGUACUGAGACAGGGACCGGACUCCUACGGGAGGCAGCAGUGAGGAAUAUUGGUCAAUGGUCGGCAGACUGAACCAGCCAAGUCGCGUGAAGGAAGACGGUACUCGGUAUUGUAAACUUCUUUUGCAUGGGGGUAAAACACGGGACUUGUCCCGUCUUGCAAGUACCAUGCGAAUAAGCAUCGGCUAACUCCGUGCCAGCAGCCGCGGUAAUACGGAGGAUGCGAGCGUUAUCCGGAUUUAUUGGGUUUAAAGGGUGCGUAGGUUGUAUCUUAGUCCACACGGUAAACGAUGAAUACUGACUGUUUGCGAUACACAGUAAGCGGUUAAGCGAAAGCGUUAAGUAUUCCACCUGGGGAGUACGCCGGCAACGGUGAAACUCAAAGGAAUUGACGGGGGCCCGCACAAGCGGAGGAACAUGUGGUUUAAUUCGAUGAUACGCGAGGAACCUUACCCGGGCUCGAACGGCUAUUGAAUAAUUAUGAAAGUGAUUAGUCGCAAGACAAUAGUCGAGGUGCUGCAUGGUUGUCGUCAGCUCGUGCCGUGAGGUGUCGGCUUAAGUGCCAUAACGGGCGCAACCCUUACCGCCAGUUACCAUCGGUUACAGCCGGGGACUCUGUCGGGACUGCCGCCGUAAGGUGCGAGGAAGGUUGGGAUGACGUCAAAUCAGCACGGCCCUUACGUCCGGGGCGACACACGUGUUACAAUGGGUGGGACAGCGGGCAGCUACCCGGCGACGGGAUGCGAAUCCCCAAACCCACUCCCGGUUCGGAUCGGAGUCUGCAACCCGACUCCGUGAAGCCGGAUUCGCUAGUAAUCGCGCAUCAGCCAUGGCGCGGUGAAUACGUUCCCGGGCCUUGUACACACCGCCCGUCAAGCCAUGGGAGUCGGGGGUACCUGAAGUACGUAACCGCGAGGGACGUCCCAGGGUAAAACCGGUGACCGGGGCU